rnacentral:rRNA from 1 species
UACAGAGGUCUCAAGCGUUGUUCGGAUUCAUUGGGCGUAAAGGGUGCGUAGGUGGCGCUGUAAGUCAGGUGUGAAAUUUCGGAGCUUAACUCCGAAACUGCAUUUGAUAUGGCGUGCUUGAGGACUGGAGAGGAGACUGGAAUUUACGGUGUAGCAGUGAAAAUGCGUAGAGAUCGUAAGGAAGACCAGUGGCGAAGGCGGGUCUCUGGACAGUUCCUGAC